rnacentral:sRNA from 1 species
GUUUGCACUUGUCGGGGAAGGGUGAGAACCUUCGAUUAAGGUUCGACUCGAGCGAAAGCGAGAGAACGUUGCCAACGGCAACGGCCCGAAGGGUGAGGAGCGAAGCGACGA